rnacentral:lncRNA from 1 species
CCGCCACUGCCAUCGCCACCACUGUUUCCUGGGAGACAGACUCUGUUUAUGACAUUAUCAAAAAGUCCAGCCCCUCCCUACACCUCCCUGCCUCUCUUUAUGGGGACCAAGAUUUGGGCUGUAAAUACCACUGCCUGUCUUCCCUGAAGACUUCAAUGGGCCCUGAACAUGUUGUUAGCGCGAAGGACACACAAGGCUUCCCUUUGACUGCCCUGGCCAGCAUCCCCGCCACACCCAGGCCCACAGGAAGGUCACCCGCCCACCCUCUGCCGUGCCUUCCCUCCGCCGCCAAGCCCCAGGACAACUGCUCUCAGCAAGCCAGGAAGAGGCCCCCACCAGACCAAACCACACAGCCACCCUGGACCCCAGCUCCCAGAAGCACGGGGAAACAAACAUCCGUUGCCUAAACCCCAGGCUGACAUCUUGUCACAGUAGCCAGAGUGGACUCAGGUCCACAGCGGAGUCGAGGAAGGCUUCCUGCAGAGCCAAUGUGGCCAUCCUUGGGGGAGCCAGGCCGGGCCAACCCCUCUCCCACCACACAGCAGCCUGGCUGCAAAUGCGGGAAGCUUCUUGGGGACUUCAUGGCUCCACUGCAGGCACAGAGGCCAGCCUGGAUGAGAGACCAGGCACCCUCCGCAGUCCAGCCAGGGCCCUGGAGCAGGGCAAAGAGGCAGAAAGAUCACGGGUACUGAGCCCCAGAUUUCCGCUGCCCCUGCUGCCCUGGCAGAGGAAACAGAGAACAAGGCCCCCACCCACCCAGCUCCCACCCUGGGGGCAGCUUGGAAGUGGGGAUCUCGGCCAGGCUCUGAAUGACAGAAACCAUCAGGACAUGGAAAAACAAGACCUAUAAAGAAAUACACAUUUUAUACAUCAGUUUAAUUAAAGUACAUUAAAAUGAGUUUGCUUAAAUAAAAAAAAAAAUUA